UCCGAAGGGGGCGAGCGUUGUUCGGAAUUACUGGGCGUAAAGGGCGCGCAGGCGGCCCUUGAAGUCAGGCGUGAAAGCCCCGGGCUCAACCUGGGAGGUGCGCUUGAUACUCGAGGGCUUGAGUGCGGGAGAGGAGAGUGGAAUUCCCAGUGUAGAGGUGAAAUUCGUAGAUAUUGGGAAGAACACCGGUGGCGAAGGCGGCGACCUGGUCCUUGACUGACGCUGAGGCGCGAAAGCGUGGGGAGCAAACAGG
rnacentral:rRNA from 1 species